rnacentral:tRNA from 1 species
GCCGACGUGGUGGAAUUGGUAGACACGCUAUCUUGAGGGGGUAGUGGCGUAAGCUGUGUGAGUUCGAGUCUCACCGUCGGCACCA